rnacentral:rRNA from 1 species
UGUAAGCGUAUACCAAAGUUGUUGCAGUUAAAACGCUCGUAGUGGGAAUUUGGCAGUUCCGGAUGUGUGCACGUCGUGUGCGCACUUCGCGGGGAUUGCUUUUGUGGUCUUGCGUAGGAUGAGGCACUUUUAUUAGUGAACGUCCUCACGCAACCACUUUUUACUGUGAGAAAAUCAGAGUGCUCAAAGCAGGCAUUUGCCGUGAAUGUAUUAGCAUGGAAUAAUAGAAUAGGACUUGGUUCUAUUUUGUUGGUUUGUUGGGACUGAGUAAUGAUUAAGAGGGACAGUUGGGGGCAUUUGUAUUUCGGUGCUAGAGGUGAAAUUCUUAGAUUACCGAAAGACAAACUGCUGCGAAAGCGUCUGCCAAGGAUGUUUUCAUUGA